CAGGUCUCUCAUACAGCAGCUUGUCCUUGGAGUGUCUUGAGGUGGCCAGGCAAUAUCAGCAAGGAAAGUGAAAAUAGCAAAAGGAGCACCUGGAGUUUUGGAGAUAGCAUCCUCCAAAAGACCUUCAGAACAUCUUAACUUCAUCUAUUAACAGAGUUUUUAAAAACUCAGCAUAACUUUAAUUGACAUAAAGAAGCUGAAUCCCCACUGGAAAUCCCCAAACACAUGGCAUUACAAAAGGAGCUACAAGACAAACAUAUAGGAGACAGCUGACUUUGGCAACAGUCUGGAAGAGUUCCCCUUAGCUCCUCCUCCAAAAGUUUACUUCCAAACAUAUUCUCACAUAGAAAUCACUUCUCUGCACCUUAAGAAAGGUACAUAUAAAAUAUGAUGUGGAUUUUGUCAUUGUCAUGCCUUAGAGUUUCAUUUUUCUUGGCCAACCACAGGAAAAAGAUAUAAGACA